CUGCUUUCUCUAUGGUUGCCCUCGCUCUCAUCUCAAGGCUCCUCAGCAAUUCAUAGGCUGUGCCAGGCUGCCCAUCUCAUCCGGGUCCUUCAGCGGCACAGACGUAGUACGGCCUAGCGGGAGCGGGGGGCGACGGGCAGAGGGGAGGCCCCAGGCAGAGACGCUCAGUUCGGUGGCUGCAAGGAGGAUGGCAGCAGAAGGGCCCGAGGCUCCCGCCAGUCCCAGUGGGGAGGGGCUCCCAGGGGCUGAGGCUGGUGAGAGGAGGCCGAACGGGGGCAGGCUGGGCAGACAAGCAACACAGUUGGAGCCUCCCUCCUCCCUGGCCGGCAGGGAGGGAGGGAGAGGAGCUGCUUCCUUUGAAACCCGGAAAAUUUAAGGGACAUCCAUCAAUAAGGGACAGCAGCGGGACUUGGCGCUGGGAUAAGGGACUAUACCUCCAAAUAAGGGACGCUUGACAGCUGUCUUCCACAGCCGUCUCCUCCUCGGUCAGAGUAGAAGAGAACAAAGGAUGGAAGUGAUUUACAGACUGACUUCCAUUCUUACACAGACAGUACAGAAGGUGUAAACAUGGUUAUCAUGUUACACUAGCACCUGUCCACAUGUCCUUCUCUUUGCAGAUGUGCUGCAAACUGUGUUGGAAUGUGAAAUCAAGCUUUAUUUACUGCGUAUAAUAACAAAGAAACAUGACCCUGAGGCAUCUUUCCUCCCGCAGGACCGCCGAUGUUACGCCCUUUGGGAAAGUGGGGAGGAACAGAAACCAGCAGCCAACAGCAUCCCUUCUCUGCUGGCCUUUGCCUGAAGGUUCCCCCAUCUCAGAGCAAGUAGCUCUCCCUCAUGGAUUCAGUCCUUUCAACACUUCCAUCUCCCCAAGAGGCUCCCAAGGCUACUCAUCCUCUGCAGUUGAUAACAGACCUAACUGAAAAGAACGGCUUUCUCUUCUGGUGACACCAGAAAAUUCUAGAAUUCACCCUUUCCAUAGCAUUAUGGAUGCACGAUUCCCACAGGCAAGUUUCUUGGCAAGACAAGGGCCUUCGCUGGCCAUAGAGUGUCCUCCUCAGCAUUCCCAACGAAGGAGCUGGGUUGCAAGAGCUGCAGCUAAUGGGGGGGGCUGUCCUCCCCCUUCCCAUCUCACCUGGCUGCUAGGUAGGAAAGCAAGACCCAGAGAGAGUUGUGGGAAACCCCGAAACCAGCUUGCUCUGUGCCGGAGCCAAAGCUGCGACUAAUAGAGAAGCAAGAUCUGUUCGGGUGUUGAUGCUGUGAGCCCCUCCGUCCUACACUCCGGUUGUGUAUGUGAGUAAAUAAAGCUAGAUAUCAUAAAGACGCCACAGUCUCCGCUGACUUUUGUUCCAAGGAAACUGAAGAUGGGGAAGCGCCUGGGACCCCUGGAAUCUCACCCCUCAGAGACUGGGGUAGUUUGCAGAUACAAACACACAUACAAUAAUUUGUGCCCGUGUUCCUAAUAGAUAACUAAGUGUGAAGAGCAUGUCAUGUGCUUUUGCAACAGCCCUCCUGGAAAUAAGGAAAUGCAACCCCCAUUGCUGGUUGACUCAAAAAAGCAACAAAGGAAUCUGCUCUGGUGUCCCAUGAGGUCUGUGGGGCCCUUAAGUAAGAGGAGCCAUUGCUUUUCUUUCUUUCCUUUUUAAAAAAAAUAACUUAAAGAAAUUUUAACAUAAUCAAAUAUUCAAAUUUCAUUUUACAAUUUCAAUUAACACCCCCCCGCCGCCAUGCGAAUUCCCCCAACUUCCCUUCCU
rnacentral:lncRNA from 1 species